rnacentral:lncRNA from 1 species
GACAAGAUGCAGGAGUUCACUUGGCUCUUUGAAAAGGAAAACUUUAAAGUCAGUGGUUGGACUGAGUCCCAUGAAGCCAGAUCACUUCUGACUGCAAGGAGCUUGGAAAAGCAAGUAUCUGGAUCUUUUACCAGCUAAAUUUGGAGCGAUGAGGCUUCCUCUUUGAAGAUCACAGGUGAGAAGAUUAGGUGCUUUCUCAGAAGCCCAGCAACCUGAUGGGAGUGUGGAGUGAGCAAGACCCAAAUCGGAGCUUCAUCCCUGCAUGGUUCAUUUUGCUUAUUUGGCAAACUUGCCCUGCAGAAUCUACUCAAGCUUCCUCAGUUUCUCAAAUCAUUCUUGGGCAACAAAUGAACAAGAAAGAGGACGUCUUAUUAUCUGGUGUCUGGCUUGCUGAUUUAAUAACCUAGGAGACAGU